rnacentral:precursor_RNA from 15 species
GCACAUCAUUUCUUCUCUUUGUUGAAAGUUUACAAUUUAGCGCUCUAUUCUAGUUAAAUUUUACACUAGCAUGAGCGUUUGUUGUAGAUUUUUGGCAAAAAUUUCAUCGAUGCUUCCAC